rnacentral:lncRNA from 1 species
CAAAAUUGUAAGAAUGCUUGAGAAACUGGUGAUUUUUUGAUUUUUAUUUUUCUGUUACCUAUUUUCAUACAUGAAAAAAUAGUUGUGACUUUGAAGUAUAUCAGGUUAAACAUUCCAGUAUUUGUGGAUUUUUAGGGAACAAAGCAUAAUCACUAAUUUCUAUAUAAUGAACAAAUCUGUGUAGGAUUAGCGAGGAAAGUUUUCAGUACUAAAAAAAAAAAAAAAAAAACCAAAAAAAAAAACCAGAAAACCUUUUCAUUGAAAAAAGUAGAAAAAAAGAAAAGAAAAACAGAUAUAUCAGUAUAUUGGGCUACCAGAAUUAUACUUUAUGGAUAUUUUAAAAUCUAAUUAUGUUAUUAAAUUGCUAUUCGAAUCAUUGUUUACCUCUGAAUGUCAGCCAACAGAAGCCAACUUACACUUUGGAAACGGUGUGGUUCUAAAUAUUUCUUAGACAAGAAUACAAGAUCUGCAUGAGUAAGCAACUGCUAGCUAUAGGGAAUCAACAUCAGUUGAUUGGGGCACGCCCCAAGACCAGCAGAUAAGUCAGAUCCCCUCAUCUUCAUGGCUUGUGGGUGCAGUGCUAGAGCAGCCCAGGCUCAGCCUGAUGCGUGCCUGACUAGAUGCAGCAGAGCAAAGCUGGGCACAGAGCACUGUGCUCUUAGUUGCAGUGGUAAGUUUAAUUGUCCGGUGACAUGUCUCUGUUGUGUCAUUGAAUGCAGAAAGAUCAAAGAUUCUGGAAUCAUUAUAUAAAAGCGGCACCUCAAGAAUCUUUUCUUCCUUGCUCUGCCAGUUAUGCUGUAAGAGAAGAAGCUGUCAUAUCAGGAAGGAUGCACUGCAGUAGUCCCAGCUCCCUCCACAGACCAGCAGUGUGGAGAGGAAGCAGCAGCUCUGGGGACAGGCAUCAGGCAGAGGGGAGCAGGGUGGAACUCCCCUGUGAGCAAGAGCCUGAGCAGGCCAAGGACGUGCAACAGGAGGCAGAAGAAUAGCAAAAAGUGUUUCCAGAAGCUGUGUCAGCUGAACUACUUCGCAGUGUCUGAAGGGACAUAGCUGUGAAACAGCUGGAUGCAGUUCAACACUCAAGACUGCAGAAAUGUUAGGAAGCUGAGGAAACCCGCAGGAAGACAUGGAAAAUAACAUAUCUGCACUCUAAAGAUGUGCGACUGCCAGCUGUGAUUAAAGUUCAAAUUUAUGGAGAACUACAUAUUCCUUGCUGCUCUCAGCUAGCCAUGGCAGUUUCUGCUACCCAGUAAGAUAUGAAUAUUUCUUUAGGAGGAGGAUAUUGUGCCUAACAAUAGGUUAGAUACUGGUAUGUGAUGUAUUUUUUACUGUGCCGUACCUUAUCUAGAAAAAUAAAGAGAAGCUGUGGAGAAAUGAGCA